rnacentral:lncRNA from 12 species
CGCCGCCCCCGGGCCGCCGGGACCCCGCGCCGCCGCCCGCUCAGCUGUUUCCGGCCCGCGCCUGUGCUGCGGGAGGAGGCCUUGCGGCGCUCGGCCCGGCCCCUCCCGAUUGGCCCGCGGCGUCACGUGCCCGCAAUCAGCUGGGGCCAGCUGGGGCGGCUCGGGCGGCCUCGCCGGGCGGGGUGGGCGUGCGCCCGCCCGCACCCCCUGACGCCGCCCGCCGUCCGGGUAGCCGCGCCGCGCACUGCGGAUUGGGAGCCGCGAGGCGGAACUGCUCCCCGAAGAGCUGUUGCGUCCUGACGCCUAGUAACCCCCCCUCCGAGGGAGAGCCCGGGAAGGUGGACGACGAGCUCAUGUUUUUAGAACUUCAGCUAAAAAAAUGGGCAGAAUUUUCCUUGAUCAUAUCGGUGGUACCCGUCUGUUUUCUUGUGCAAACUGUGACACAAUCCUGACCAACCGCUCAGAACUCAUCUCUACUCGGUUCACAGGUGCCACUGGCAGAGCAUUUCUUUUUAACAAGGUAGUUAACCUGCAAUACAGUGAAGUUCAAGACCGGGUCAUGCUCACUGGCCGCCACAUGGUUCGAGAUGUGAGCUGCAAGAACUGCAAUAGCAAACUCGGAUGGAUCUAUGAGUUUGCCACUGAAGACAGCCAGCGCUAUAAGGAAGGCCGUGUGAUCCUGGAACGCGCUCUAGUACGAGAGAGUGAGGGCUUCGAGGAGCAUGUACCAUCUGAUAACUCUUGAAGAAAAAGAGAUAACUCCAUCUUUUCCCAGGUCUCCUUCACUGAAAACAAAAAUCUACUUACAUACACU